rnacentral:rRNA from 1 species
UACAGAGGUCUCAAGCGUUGUUCGGAUUCAUUGGGCGUAAAGGGUGCGUAGGUGGCGGGGUAAGUCAGGUGUGAAAUCUCGGAGCUCAACUCCGAAACUGCACUUGAUACUGCCUUGCUGGAGUACUGGAGAGGAGAUUGGAAUUUACGGUGUAGCAGUGAAAUGCGUAGAUAUCGUAAGGAAGACCAGUGCGAAGGCGAAUCUCUGGACAGUUACUGACACUGAGCACGAAGGCCAGG